AUUGAACGCUGGCGGCAGGCCUAACACAUGCAAGUCGAGCGGAUGAAGGGAGCUUGCUCCUGGAUUCAGCGGCGGACGGGUGAGUAAUGCCUAGGAAUCUGCCUGGUAGUGGGGGAUAACGUCCGGAAACGGGCGCUAGUACCGCAUACGUCCUGAGGGAGAAAGUGGGGGAUCUUCGGACCUCACGCUAUCAGAUGAGCCUAGGUCGGAUUAGCUAGUUGGUGGGGUAAAGGCCUACCAAGGCGACGACCCGUAACUGGUCUGAGAGGAUGAUCAGUCACACUGGAACUGAGACACGGUCCAGACUCCUACGGGAGGCAGCAGUGGGGAAUAUUGGACAAUGGGCGAAAGCCUGAUCCAGCCAUGCCGCGUGUGUGAAGAAGGUCUUCGGAUUGUAAAGCACUUUAAGUUGGGAGGAAGGGCAGUAAGUUAAUACCUUGCUGUUUUGACGUUACCAACAGAAUAAGCACCGGCUAACUUCGUG
rnacentral:rRNA from 1 species